UUUAAAAAUAUAAGCAGCAGUCUAAGUCAUGUGAGUAACGGAAACGGCAAGCUCAUUACACAGCUAAAAGUAUACGUGAGAUACCAUUAAAUGGAAUCUGCGGUAAUCUGGAGCUAUACAUGCAAAAAAGAUGUAUAAUAUGUGUACAAUGCAGUAUUGAUAAACCAAUGGGUUGCCCAAUAGUAAUUUAGAUAAGCGUACAUACAGAUAAUUUGAUGGAUGCCGUAUUUGUAUCUGCCUAUCAAUAUAUAACCUGUAUGAAAGGUUAUGGGGUGCCCGGUUAAGGGGAAUUGGGGUUGUUUCCGGGGAGAAAGCCCUUAAAACGGGUUUUACAUUCCAAGGAAGGAGCCGGGGGGGAAAAUUCCCCCUUUCAAGGGGGGGGGGGAGGGGAGGGGAAAGGCCAAUUUCCUUUUUUAUAGGGAGGGACCUUGGGAAGGGUUUAAUUUUAAUUCCAUUAAGAUUUUCCAAGGGAGGGCCAAUUUGGGGCCCGCCACCCCGGUUAAUUCCGGUUUCAUACUGCCAUGAAAUGGUGUUGCGGGUUAAAAAUUUGUAAUUGCAAAGGUUCGGGAUGAGGAGGGUUUACUUUAUUGUUAAUACUAUUUCUACCGUUAAGAGUUUAUAUGGUUAAUACCCAUAUAACUCAGUUACUUUGAGUAAAUCAGAGUGCUUAGAACAAGCGUAUUGCUUGAAUGGUUGUGCAUGGAAUAACAAUACAAUGCAUUGAUAUUUGUUUUGUUGGUUUUAAUGUCAAUGAAUGAUUAAAAGGAACAAACGGGGGCAAAAGUAUCAUAAGGCGAGAGGUGAAAUCGUGACCAUGAGGCCGGG
rnacentral:rRNA from 1 species